GGGCUUUCUCCAGAGACAGAGACAGAGAGGCUCUCAAGAUAACCACUGAUCCACCAGUCUGGGGAUGGAUUAAAGCCACUCGUGAGGUCUGGGCUCUCAUGACCUAAUCGCCUCUGAAAGCUCCCACCUGGUCCCACUCUUCUCAUGAGCGAUAGACAAAUAUGGAGACUCGCUUUGAACCUGUGUUUUGGUGGGGACCCUCGAGCCAUAUGAAGUUUCCCUGAGCCACCUAUACUUAGGAUGACAACAGAUGACCUUGAGAAAUGAACAUGGUGUGAAGAGGCCUCUGUGCCAAGAGCUUUGAUUCACUGACACCGGUCAUUCACCCUGCCCAUCUUGGUCAUGACUGGACACACUUUGAAACCCUCUGUCUGGGAGGUGGCCCCUCUGGGGACUUGCAGC
rnacentral:lncRNA from 1 species